UACGUAGGGGGCUAGCGUUGUCCGGAAUCAUUGGGCGUAAAGCGCGCGUAGGCGGCCCGGUAAGUCCGCUGUGAAAGUCAAAGGCUCAACCUUUGAAUGUCAGCGGAUACUGCCGGGCUAGAGUCCGGAAGAGGCGAGUGGAAUUCCUGGUGUAGCGGUGGAAUGCGCAGAUAUCAGGAAGAACACCCGUGGCGAAGGCGGCUCUCUGGGACGGUACUGACGCUGAGACGCGAAAGCGGUGGGGAGCGAACAGG
rnacentral:rRNA from 1 species